rnacentral:rRNA from 1 species
UGCCAGCCGCCGCGGUAAUACGGAGGGGGCGACCGUUAUUCGGAAUUACUGGGCGUAAAGGGUGCGUAGGCGGCCCAUCAAGUUAGACGUGAAAGCCCCGGGCUCAACCUGGGAAUUGCGUUUAAUACUGGUGAGCUAGAGUACGAGAGAGGAAAGUGGAAUUCCUAGUGUAGAGGUGAAAUUCGUAGAUAUUAGGAAGAACAUCGGUGGCGAAGGCGAUUUUCUGGGCCAAAUCUGACGCUGAGGUUCGAAAGCGUGGGUAGCAAACAGGAUUAGAUA